rnacentral:rRNA from 1 species
AUUGAACGCUGGCGGCAUGCUUUACACAUGCGAGUCGAACGGCAGCGCGGGCUUCGGCCUGGCGGCGAGUGGCGAACGGGUGAGUAAUUCAUCGGAACGUGCCCACUAGUGGUGGAUAGCCCGGCGAAAGCCGGAUUAAUACCGCAUACGACCUGAGGGUGAAAGCGGGGGACCGAAAGGCCUCGCGCUAUUGGAUCGGCCGAUUUUGGGUUAGCUAGGGGGUGGGGUACAGGCUUACCAAGGGGACGAUCCGUAGCUUGUCCGGGGGGACGACAAGCCACACUGGGAGAGGAAGACGGGCCAGACUGCGACGGGGGGGCGGAGUGGGGAACUUUGGGCGAUGGGGGUAACCCUGAUCCAGCCAUGCCGCGUGCGGGAAGAAGGCCUUCGGGUUGUAAACCGCUUUUGUUCGGGAAGAAAUCCUCUGGGCUAAUACCCCGGGGGGAUGACGGUACCGGAAGAAUAAGCACCGGCUAACUACGUG